CAGUAGCCGCGGGAAUACGUAGGUGGCGAGCGUUGUCCGGAAUUAUUGGGCGUAAAGGGAGCGCAGGCGGACAUAUAAGUCCAUCUUAAAAGUGCGGGGCUCAACCCCGUGAGGGGAUGGAAACUGUAUGCCUUGAGUGCAGGAGAGGAAAGCGGAAUUCCCAGUGUAGCGGUGAAAUGCGUAGAUAUUGGGAGGAACACCAGUGGCGAAGGCGGCUUACUGGACGACAACUGACGUUGAGGCUCGAAGGCGUGGGUAGCAAACAGGAUUAGAUACCCGAGUAGUCCCUGUCUCUUAUACA
rnacentral:rRNA from 1 species